rnacentral:misc_RNA from 1 species
GAGCAGAAACGAGAGACCAAGACAAUCCAAUCAAAUCUCUUCAGCGCCGAUUGAGGGUGACCCUGCGAAAGAAAGAAAGCGCGCGCCCAUACGCACACGCACAGAAACACGCACCAAGGUUGCAUGCCGUGGGAUCAUCAUCAACCGCUUUCUUGUAGAAUCAAGAAGACGGUAGGCUUCAGGCUUCAUUGUGAGCAAAAAUUAGCCACGCUCGCAAUCGAAAGAAUUCUCAUCACUCCCACAAGCGUGCCUCAUGUCGGACACCACCGGCAACUCUUUCUUGCGUAGUCAGCAGCAAGGGAGCAAAAGCGUGAUGCAGGGAAGGCGUCGCCUCCGCGCCAAGUCGUCCACUGUACGCGCUCCUGUGCAGCGAGCCUCUCGGAAGCCAAGCGCCGCCGAUGCAACUGCUGCCGCCUCCACCGUGGCACCGGCACCCCCCGUUUUGGCGUUGCGGAAGUUCGGUUCUGCAAAAAAGGCUGCAAGAGACGCGGACGGCAACACCACGCCCAAAGCAAAUGGCCUUCACGGGUACAACCAAAGGUCUCUGGGAGCGUCGCACGGCGAUGUGUACAGUUUCAACACUUCCCUAGAGCACAGAACUCUGACCGCGACCAACAGGCGUGCCGAGUUGCCAAACGUCUUCGGCACCGAUUCGCCGUCUGCUGCGCCGGUUUCCACUCUUGACGAUUCACAUGUGUGCCCGGACAGCACAGCGACAAAAGGGCCGCUGACGGGCGCCUCAGAGACCUCUUCGUGCGACGCGCUGUCAUUUGGUGUGAAUGGGGGAUCCGAUGUGUUCAACUCUUACCCUCUGCGGCCGCUGAGGGGGCCAAGGCGAGGUGCUGGGAGCAGGUCUGCCGAAUCCGACUCGGCAGCUGCAAAGGAGUCACUCUGUAGUCGAACCGGCGGUGCUGCAUUCGAAAAUGCUGGCGCGGAACAGCGCGGAGCCGGAGGCGGGUCCCUUCUCGCUUACUCAUCCGAUGCGGCGACUCAGAACAAGACGACGCCGCCCCCGCGUGCGCGUCUGAACCGACCUUCAAAACGCAGCUACCCUUCUAGCACUCCCGCAGCGAAAGUGGUCCAUCCCCGGAACGUCUCAGAGAAUCUGGGCGGCACCAUUAGGGCCACAGCGAUGAUCAACAGUGCCGACUCAAGCAAUGUGCUUGCCUCUCUUCCACUAUCCGUUUCUCACAGCCGCAAUACAGGAUCUGAUGACGAUGCAGCAUCCAUCACCAGUGCGCGACAGACUGUGCGAGAGCCGGAUGAGGCAGGUGCAGCAAGAGCGUUGUUGGUGGUGCCGGAGCUGUCUCCUAGCAACGGGUCUACGCCACCUCAUCAACGCCUCUCUCUCGUUAGCGGGUCCCUUCCCUCGCCGUCACAGGAGGGCAUGACGACUGUGGCCGAGAAGAAAAGCACGGAAAGCGUCGACUCUUUUUCCGACAAAGGAUUGUUUUCCUCUCGCGCACUGCGCCUCGAGCCUCAGGCUCCGUCGAUGCAGCUUUCAGGAUCUGCAGAGGUGACCAAGGCGUCAUCGUCGUCGACGCCAAUCCGUAGCAGUGCAUCUACCACUGUGAAGACGGUGUCGGCGCUCUCCAUCGCUCGACUGCACGCAGCGCCGAUUCCGCUGCGCAAUUUCGGUGCGACGUGCUAUCUGAACUCGGUAGUGCAGUGCCUGCUAUGCACACCUGGCCUGCUCCGCACGUUGAACAUUGAACGUCAACGCAUCGUGCGCGAAUGGGAGGGGAGGCGCCGCUUCGAGGAGAAGCGAAAGCCGGACGAUGCCCAACGGCGCAGCUGCGCUGAGCACAAGGCCCCGGCGACGUCUUCGCUGAUUGAUUUGGGCACCGCGCGCCCCGCGCACCACAUCGCGGUUCAGCAGCUUCUUCUCAGUCUCAAGGCGGCUUGUGCGGAGUGUAACAAUGAGUUUUCGUCUAAUGGACAGAAAGACGCGCAUGAGUUUCUCAUCACGCUGCUGGGGGUGAUCGACAAGGAGGUUUGCCGCAGCAAGCCAGGCAACCAGGAAACCUUCAAAGACUUUGAAGAUGAGAAAAAGAGUGAUGUGUACGCGCGAUGGGUGAGCUGGAUGCAGCAGGAGAACGACUCGACCGUGUACGACUUUUUCGGCGGAAUCACCGGCUGCACCGUCAAGUGUUCUAGCUGCGAACUGACUUCCUACCGCUUUGAAGUGCUGCUGCACAUCUCCUUGCCCAUAUCUUACCGUUCCCGCUCACAGGGCGGUGGAACCGACAUCCGGUUGCCCGAUGGGGAGCUCGACGGCAAGGCGAAGCCUAAAGGGGUCGCUGCCGUUGACGAGUUGUUGCGCGAGAUGUUCUUUAGCGAGCGUGGGGAGUCCUUGAAUGGUCCGAUGCAGGUGACGUGCGACCGCUGCAAGCAGCUGCGAGACAAACGCAUAUGGUAUUCAAUGGAGUAUUGGCCGCCGAUUCUGGUGCUUCAUCUGAAGCGCUUCAACAAUGCUGGAGUCAAGAAUGAGACGGCGGUGGUGUUUCCGUACACGUUUCACCCGCACCGGUACGUCAAGUAUCAGCUGUACGGUGUCUGCUGCCACCGCGGCACUUGCUCCUCCGGGCACUACACGGCGUACACGUACGUACAGGAGGAUGACAAGAAAGCAGUAGUGCGGAAAAAAGCCCCCACUGUUGCGGCGUUCUCCGAUUUCUACAACCCCUCACUGAAAGGCACGCAAAGCGAUCGCAUCUUCAGCCCCCAGACGCUCCCGCGCAGGGGUGGCGUCGGUAUCUUUGGCUGGUUUGACGGCGUCAGCAUAGGAAAUGGCGACAAUAAUGCGCGGGCUAGUAGUGAGGCAUUGCGCCACAAAGGAAACGGAAGGGCUGAUGGAAAAGAUCGGGCUCGUUCGGCAGGGAGGACGGCGAAGGCUGGCAAGUGGUAUCUCUGCAACGACAAAAAUAUCACCGAGGUGUCGGCGCCGGACGUGCUGUCGAUGACGAAGGAGGCAUACAUCCUUUUCUACCGGCGCGUUGAUGAUGGAGAUGUGAUGGUCAUCUGACCGGGGGCGGCCUCUGUACGGGUAGAAUGCCACCACCGCCGCCCUGUCUUUCAGUUCUUGUCUCUGUUCUCGAGCGUGUUAAGAGGUGUGAAUCCGUGCGGGGUAGUUUUCGCCGUGGUGAUGGCGCCCCGCUCUCUUUCGCGCACACCAUCACCCUUUUCCCCUUCGCUGCUGAUGCUCGUUCCGCAGCCGCCUAGGCCCGACUUUGUGCAUGCGACGUACAGUACAUCAUGCGCGAAUAGAAGGGAUGCAUGCUCUUCAAGACUUUGGCGCACAUAUCUGUCUCCAACUGCGAGUCUUUUCGCAUUGCACUCUUGCCGCACCGUGUAUGAUAGGCUGUGUGGCUAUCAUAUCUGCACUUCUAUAUUGCAGAGUCAACCGGCAAUGAAACCAACUUUUCCGCUCUGCUGCUCUUUUUUUCCGUUCGCGUGUUUAUGUUUUCGUGCCCUUCCGAAAAAAAAAGCGUAUCGGACUUAUUUCGUGCUCGUGCAGGAGAGCUGGGAAUAACCUCAGGUACAUAUAUUUUUUCUUUUCUUUUCGUCAUCGUCGCUGUUGCGAUUCAGGGUGAACAGGGAGAACAGGCGGCCUGCGCUCAGGCGACCUUUGCCACGGAUCGUUCGCGGUAUUCCUCUCAUAGGUGAUGCGUGCGACGGGGCCUUUUCCGUCUCUCCUGCUUGUGAGAGGCACCGCAUCACUGUUUCCAUCUUACUUGCUCCUUCUCUGCCUUGCUCUCUUCCAG